rnacentral:tRNA from 1 species
UAAGGCCUUAGCUUAAUUAAAGCGUUUGAUUUGCAUUCAAUUAAUGUGGGGUAAAGUCCCGCAGGUCUUAGC